UAAAAUCAUAAAUUCUUGCCUUAUGAUUACAAAGAAAUCCCUGAAAUAAGCAUAAUAAAUACACAAACUCCUCUAAGUUUAAUAAAAAGAAGGAGAGGUCCUAUUUGUUUUGUGCGAAGUGCAGACUUUAAAAAACCUCUCCUCUUACACAUAUCUUUCCAGUAAAGGUAAAUAUUAAAAGAAACAUUUUUUUUAGCCUGAGAAGUGUGUAAUCAGUUUAAUAAUAAUAACAACACAAUAACCCAUCCAGGCAGGAAGGGCAGUACUGCUGCAGCUGUGAGCCAUGCAAGCAGGUUCCAACUUCUGCCAUUUAACCCUGGUGAGAAAUUUUCUGCUAGCAAUGGGAAGAGAACAGGCCUGGUGGCUGAAAACAAUAGAAAUUAAAGGGUAUUGAUAUGAUGCAGAAGCCUCCAUUCCAUCCUCAGAGGGAACUGAGCCAUACAGGGUUCCCAGAGUUUCUCUCACCCAUUGAAUCAUCAUGUGAAAUGGACUUUAAUAUUUACACCUCUUCCUUCCUUCCUUCAGCAGUUUUAGUCUGUGCCUAUGGAGCAUGGAGGCAGCUUCCUGGAUGGAAGAACCAAGCUCAUGCCACGUCUGAUUAGGAGACUCUAGAACUCCAAUAGGACUCUCUGUUCCUACCUACCUCAGCCUCAGAGGCCAAGAUCCUUCACAUGAAUGGCAGAUUGUUACAAAUUAAUAAAGAAAAUGAGCAUGAGGGAUGGGAGCUCUGAAGGAGCCAAGGCGUGCCCAGCCCAUCAGAAGAAGAAAAAAAAGAACUGCAGAUAACAUUCUCUCCAGCAUGCAACAGAGGAACUGAGACUGUAAGAAGAUGUCACAGGGAAGGCAGAAGUAAACACAAAGCCAGCUGGAGAGUUCCUGGAACAGGGGAGGAGUGGGACGGCCUGUGAGGCUGGGAUUGACUGAAUCCUCUGUGCAGUCACUCUGGUCACAGUUUCUCCUCUCGUCUCCCUGGGGUGGACAAGCAGGAAAUUGGGUUAUGCUCCCUCAACUUGUGGCUGCACGUGCACAUGCCCAGGGAGAGUGCAGAUGGACCAGGCAGAGAACACAUGGGAUGACACAAUGUGGGUAAAUGGAAAUUUUGCCCAGGUCAAACUGUCAGGACAGAAGACAAGGUAGGAGCAUGCAAUGGGGUUAGAUGUACUCCUGACUAUAUAACAUAGAUGUUUUAAAUGCCUCAGUCCUGAAAACACAGCAUUCUGAAAGAAAACUGUCCCUUUCCUCUCUAACAGGCACAGCUUUCCAGCACUGCCCUGCUUUUGGCACGGGGGGGGACAGGAGAACAUCAGGAACUAAAGGUCCAGGGCAGCUGGAGUGGAGAAAGGGAACCCAAAGAGAGAAAAGGCAUCUCCCAGUGAAACACAUGGAGUAGAGGCAGAGGGAUGCAAGGAAGGGGCAAGGGGCAGAAUGGGAGAUAAAGUUAUCAUGAACACAGAGAGGUAAUUGUGUCAGAGAAGGGAGAGGAGAGGAGAGGAGAGGAGAGGAGAGGAGAGGAGAGGAGAGGAGAGGAGAGGAGAGGAGAGGAGAGGAGAGGAGAGGAGAGGAGAGAAGAGAAGAGAAGAGAAGAGAAGAGAAGAGAAGAGAAGAGAAGAGAAGAGAAGAGAAGAGAAGAGAAGAGAAGAGAAGAGAAGAGAAGAGAAGAGAAGAGAAGCAAGUGCAAAGAGAAGCCAGCAGGAAUGGAGGAAGAGGAGAAUAUGCCGGAAGAAUUGGGUGAUGAGAUCUCCUUGGAAAGACAAGUGUGGUUUUUGUGUAGUGGCUUUCACAGCACUCUGGGAGGGACUCACAGCUCCAUGAGCUGCACUCACAUCCAGUGUCUGAUGCUGCCUUGGAAGUACAAAUCUAUGUGUCCCAAGGAGUGACUCUUUCUUCUGGGCAGCAAAGAAGCUCAGAAGCUGUUGCUGCUCCCAGAGGGGAUUGGCACUGGCAGGAGCUGUUGCCACCUUUGGCACUGGCAGGAGCUGUUGCCAUGUGCAUUUACAAAUGUCCCCACCUCCAGCAGCUCCCGAGCACACCAGGAACUCACCCAGGCCGAGGCAGCCAGGUGCUCACCUGCCUACAGUGGGUGAUGGUCACUGCUGACAGUUCUGCAGCUCCCUGACACAGCCCCUGCCCGUUCUGCUGUGCACUGUGCACUGAGGGGAAAGCUCCCAGCACACCCAUUUAAUUCACAUUCGUAACGGGAGAUUAUAAUUUUCAAAUAUUUGUCAAGAAUUAUCAAGAGCUAUGCCAGAAAUUAUUUGUACAUCAGAGUCACUUAUAAAGUGCAGGAGAAUGCCUGGAGAAGCUGAGGUUUAGAUUGCAAAUAAUGUGGCAUCUUGACAGCUUUUCACUGGGAGUUGCAGCACGUGCGUUUGCACUUCUAUUAUAAAACCUUAUUCAGCUGCUGAAGGGGCUAAAGCCAUUCUUAGGUUCUCUAAAAGAUCUUUUUAAUUUUCAGCUCUCCCUGUGGGAGGCUGGAGGCCAGCUAUUCUUUCCACUUGAAGAGUAGGUACCUACAAUUCUUGACAAGCAAAGUUCUUUGUAGGCAGACAAAAGUAGGCUAAAAGCAAAGAUGCCUGUUAGGAGUUUUUCACCACAUACAGAAACUGAGAAUUGUUGGUUCUUAUCCUAACUUGUCACCCCAUUUCUAACAUAUGCUAAAGAUGGUUAUUCUUGAAGAAAAGACCUUUAUCAAAAGGAAAAAACCCCAUCUUUAUAUUGCUCAUAACAGAGAGUAUAAAAUGUCACUAAUAAAACUAUUCAGCAAAGGCCAAUAAGGUGUUUAAGUGCUCACCUAUGACAAUUUAAAACAUUCACUCAUUCAUGUGUCAGUGGAUGAACAGUAACCCCUCUGGAACAAGUUUAUUACAAUCUUCUCCUGGUUUUGUGUCAGUGGUGUUCCCAGGUAUGUCCUGGACAUGGCUGAUAGAUUUGAAAGGUGCAUGGUCCUGAUGCAGAACCCAAAGCUUUGUCCUCCAGACUGGACCCAGGCAGUCACAUCUGACAGAUCAAAGCAGUUGGACUCCUGAAGAGCCAGGGACUUAGCUCAGCCAUCAUUGCAGUGCUAAGCUUCCUACAAAAACCUCUGACAUUUCCAGGCUCCAAACAGAAUAAAAAUAUUAAAUAAAGCAUCAGACAACUACCAUUCUAUACCUUUAAUACAAACACAGUUAUACUUUAAAAUAAAUCUGACUUUGUUUUUGUAGGCAGAGUUUGUUCCUCAGUACCUAAUUUUAUCUUGGAAGACUUAGUUGCCUAAAUCAAUAUUUACUGCAGUGAUUCAGUAAAACCACCAAAUGCAACAUGUUAUAGAAUCACAGCAUCUUAAUAUUAUAUUUUAAAAGACAUCAAUUUUAAGAACAGGGAUGUAUGAAAUAAACCUGGAAUUAUCCACCCCAAUUUUUGUGCACUAGGUAAAGUUUAUUUCCAUAAAUGAAGGCCUGUAAAGCAAGACACUAUUUUUAUAAUCCCUUUAAAUCAUGUCAGAUUAACAGAUUAGGAAUCAUUCAGCACGUGUCAGCUAAUAAUAUGGGGUUUAGAUUACAAUGAAAAGAGGAUUAAUAGCACCAACAUUAUCCACAUUAUAUGUUCCUUAUGCCACCAGCUCUCCACCAGCCUGAGCCUGACACCAGAGACAGGAAAACCCAGUGGCAGAACUCCUGCAGAGUCAGGAGUCACUCUGGCAUCCCUGUAGCACAUUCCAGUUUUUGCAAAUGCUCAUGAGUGGAGCUGGCUCCUCACAGAUAAGAUAUGAAAACAUGACACAGUCAACUCAUGGCUGAAUAAUCUUCCCACGGGCUUUGGGGGCUGAAUGAUCUUAGCAGUCAGACUCUCAGAAACCCAAUUUUCUAGGUCUUAGACAAUGUUCUUGAUACCAUAUCCUCCUUGUCAACAGAGAAGAAAAAAAAUGAACCCUUUCUUUCCCAAUGUAACAUUUUAAACUGGCCUUUAAGGAUGAGAAACAACCAUGUAUACACAUCCUUCCUAGAUGCAGUUAAUGAAUCCAGAGAAUUUAUUUUAAAAAUUAUAACUAUUAUUUCAUUAUCUGUUUUCUGCGCAUUUGUUGAAGACCAUUUGAAUUUUUGUUUAAACUGGAAUGCACUCCUAACACAGCAUAAAAUAUUAAACAUUUAUAUUUUCAUAAUACUAUUCCCCUUUCCAAGCCAGAUCCCAUCGGUUAAGACUUCUUAGAUCUUUCAAAUGUUCAUCCACUUUUAAACCAAGCUUCUCAGAGUCCUGCUCCAGCAUAUAGAGGCAUGCUAUGUUUGUUUGUUUGUUCUUCAGUUCCUCCCUAAUACUCAACAUUUUGAGUUUUUACAUUUUAAGAAAGGCCAUUUUGUCACCUGCAAGUCCAUCACAAAAGCAUUUUUAAUGCUUUUGUUAAUAAAAAGCCAAAACCUGCUGCAUUUCCUUUUAUGAUCUUGGAAUGAAUUUUCCAGGAUGAAGAAAAAUGCAACAAACCUUCUUGCUGGUUGCAUUAGAAAUAUUUACCCUCAGCAUUAGUUACUAUGAGCUUUUCUCCUGCAUUAUCUCAUUUCUUAUUGAGAAGGUGAACUUUUUUCAUGUUACUUCUUUCAUGUUUUCAUAAUGUUCUCAUAAGUUUUACCACUGACAAAAAUACAGCAGGAGUGAAGCUGGUGGUUUUAACUUUCACUCUCAAGCAGAAAUAGCUCUUUAAAGUAAUAAGUUUUAUUUUAAAGAGACACUCAGAGUGAGGCCUUUUGACUGUUGCAUACCUUGCCUUCUAGUCUAUGCAGAAAAUCAUAAAGUUCUAACAUUCCUUAGAGGAGAAGCUUCUACUUGGUAAGGUGGACAGAGCUGUCCAUCCUUGCCUUCAAACCAUUCUUCAGUCCCACCCAGUGUGUGAGCAGAAGAAAAGUCACAGUCUAAAGUAAACCAGUGACAUCCAGACUGCACCCAGCCAGCCAAUGUGGAGCUCAGCAAUUCCUGCCCAUCAGCACUGCAGAGGAAAUACCAACUGCAGCAGAACAAUCUUGGAUCCUGUCCCUGAGUGUCCAAGAAUGUGACAUGUUUCCUCAGUGCACGGCUGAGAGAAAGUCACGUAAAUAACCAUUGUGACUCAGGAGGAAUUCACACAAAAUGCCCAUAGGGGAAGAAACACCUACUUGGCAGUCAGCGGUUGUUUCUCAAAAGGGUCAUUUCAUCCUAAUCCUUCUGUCUGGACCCUCAGGGGAAACCUUCUGAGGAUGAUCCUGGUAGCUAUGGAUUCAUUUAUAACUCUGCACAAUCCCAGAAAUAAGAGGAUUUUCAGAGAUAUAUUUUUGACAUUUUAUAAACUCUCUUGUCCACUGCUAACCUCUCCAUGCUGUACAGGUUAUAGAGCACAAGUCUCUCUAUUUUUUAACCCAGAAGGGAGCAAGCCUGAAAUUUCCCAUAUCUCAUUCAUCCUCCUCUGUCCUGCAGUGAGGAGCCCCACUCUUCACAGGGACCCAUCACCUGCACUAUUAAGCACUAUAACUAACCCAAAUAAUCAAAUUGGUACAUACCCAUCUAAGCCCUGAGCCAUCAUCCUCCAUUCAUCUUUAUCUUACAGACUCAAAGAAUCAUGGAAUAGUUUGUGUUGGAAGGGAUCUUUAAAGAUCAUCCGGUCCAACCCCCAGAUCUUUGAAAUCUGUUGCUUUUAUUUCAGAACAAUGGCUUUGUGUGUCUGAGAUAUUUUCUGAAUUCUUCAACUCUGACAGCUGGCGUGUUAGAAAAUUAUUUCCUCUCCCUACAAGCCUCAUAGCUGCAGCAAAAUAACCCACACUGCCUUUAUCUGAUGUCCCACCAUCAAUAUAUCUAUGCCUUGUUAAGGUGCUAGAAAAGCCAUACCAUACUUUACAGUAAUUUCUUAGUUUUUAAUUAAGCCUGCACAAUAUGUCCAUCAUUUAACAAUACACUGCAUACACAUGUACGAAAGGGAGGCACUGAUGACUGUGUGGGUUUUUUCACAUUUAUUCCUAUGUGAACAGUUCUGUGGCUGUACCACUGCCUUAAACUCUUCUAUAUAUUUAUUUAAUACUUCUAAUACAAUUGACACUGAUAGCUCACAUUUUGAUUACCAUAGGCUAGAUCUUUUUACUGUAAUUUUUCUGUGUGGAAUACAUAACCCAUUUCUGCUGUACAAAGGAACAGAAUUUACAGCUUAGUUCAUCUUGCAGUGCUGGAGAUCUCUGUGAAGUCGAAGUUCUCUGCAUCCAUGGAAGGAAUAGCAAGUCAAAGCUAAUUAGUGCAGUGAGAAUCUGGGAGGAGAAGUUGCUUCCUGUCUUUGAAAUUUUCCACAUCUUGGGUGAGCUGAUCAGGCAGUGAGUGCUUUGUGACAAGCUGCAAGGCUGAUUAUACACUUUCAUUUGCUAUGAGUUUUAAAUUGUAUUUCCACACUAAUAUGCAGUUGUUUCCUAAGUGAGUAUGUGGUGUUUACUUAGGCAAGAAAAAUACUUUUUUUUUUUGUGUACAAGGCUUUAAAAUUUUGUAUUCAUAGAAUCUGAGUAAUGCACUUAAUGGUAAGUAAUUCUUUUCCCUUUACUCCCCAGUAGGUUUUAGUGAGAGAAGCUUCCUCAAGAGACCUGUCAGAAGAGAGGGAAAUAUGCUGGUCUAUUACAGCUAUGUGGGAAACAGUAAUGUAGUAAUUGUAAUAUUUAUUAAGCUUCAGAUGUUAUACAAGCUACAACUUUUAGCUUGUAUUUUUCUUUCAUCGGGGAUUUAGCAAGAAUAACAGAGCUUUCUAGCACAUUCAAAAUUCAGCGUGUCAUGUCCUGGUGUAUGAAAUUGGAGCUAUUCCAAACAAUAUUCAUUGAAAACUAGCAACUUUUACUUUUCUUACUUCACAUUUUUGUGUCCAGCCAAUAUAAGUGUAAAUAUUAUUUAAUCAGAAAUUUAGAUGGUCUUGCAUGAACACAAGAAAGGGAAAUGAGGAAGGCAACAAUGCCUUCCUUCUUGUUUAUCUGCUUCUGCUGCUGCCUCUGUAUAAUAUGAAGACAACAUGAAGUUUGUAAAAGUGCUCCAAGUUAACUUCAGUAGUGUCACAAAAGCAAUCUUCGAUUUCUCAUCUCUCUUUUUGGUCUUUCACUAUGAGAUUAAAUAGUUAGGAAACAAUAUUCCUUCCAGAAAAUAAAGAAAUAGAGAUUGAGAAAACUCUUUUCCAGAUGGUUUUGAAUUAAUCAGGUACUUUUCCCAGAUAGUAAGAUAUACUGGCAUGACUUAAAAUACUGGAUAAUAAAUUUUGCCAUUGAGGGCAUCUGUACAACUUUGAAGGAUGACCUUUGCACACUAUUAAAGGUAUGCAAAAACUGAUCAGCCACGUGUAGAAAUUGAAAAAAACCCCAGGUAUGAUCUUGAGGAAUUUUUCACACGUAUGAGACAGAGCCAAUCUGGAAUUUAUUUGUUCUUGCAAGCACCAUCAGCAUCUAAAUUCAGCAUGCUUAGGGCAACUCCAAGAUUCUACACCUGAAAAAUGUGUGCAGUGUGAUAAGCCCUGCACUUCCAGAGUCCCCAUGAAAAUUUUUAAGCAAUUCUUUCAGGAAUAAAUUUAUGUGUGGCUCUCAAUAACAAUAUGGACACAGAAUUUUCAAUCUACACAUGAAGCAAUGGUUGUCUUGUAAUUUCUACUCCCUGAUAAAAUGAAUUAAGCCUUUCAAGGAAGGAAAUGAACAAUAGUGAAGUUGAGCAGUGAAGAUCUUCCUGUGCAGGACAGACACUCAGAAGAUCAACUAGAAGAACAGCUGACCAAAGCUGGAAUCACACAAAUGUGCACAAACACUGAGCAAAGGGCAUGACUGUGGUUCAGUCAAACAGCUGUUUGCUAUUAGAAUGAGGGUUUUCAAGUACUGUGUAGGUAAUACUUGGACAGUGCAGCCCAUUGUUUAGGGUAAGUUAAAGAAACCAUUCCUGGAAAGAAUUGUUUGUGGUCAGACUCUCAUUAUCACAUCUCUUUUCUCACCCCAUCUUUCUCUCUCACUGGCUGCUGUGGCACCUCAUCUAUGUCUGGUGAAACAGAUAAGUGGUUGCCAUGAAGGCACUACGGGCAGCAGUCGUUCCAUCUGCCCCCUGAGCACCUCUGAUGCUGUGGGCAGCACGUUUCUGUCCUGUGGCCCAGGCACUUUGUGACCCUCAGCUGUCUGUGUGCUAUGAGGGAAACUGUGGUGGGCUCACCCUGCCUGGGUGCCAGGUGCCCACCAAAGCCACGCUGUCACUCCCCUCCUCACUCUCAGGGCAGAGAAAAUACACCACAAGGUUCAUGUGUGAGAUGAGGACAGGGAGAGGUCACUCACCAGUUACUGUCACGGGCAAAACAAGCUCAAUUUCAGGAAAUUAAUUUAUCACCAGUCAAAUCAGAGUAGGGUAAUGAGAAAUAAACCCAGAGAUUAAAAAAGCACUUUCCCCCCAGCCCUCCCUUCUUCCUGGGCUCAGCUUCACUCCUGAUCCUCUCCCCCAGCAGUGCAGAGGGAUGGGAAAUGGGGACUGCAGUCAGUUCACUGCACAUUUCUCUACCACUUCUUCCUCCUCCAAGGGAGGACUUCUCAAACUCUCCCCUGCUCCAACUUGUGUUCUUCCCACAGGCUGCAGUUCUUCAUUAAUUGCUCCAGUGUGAGACCCUCCCUCGGGGUGCAGUCCUUUGGGAACAGUCUGCUCCAACAUGGGCCCCUCAUAGGGUCACAAGUCCUGCCAGCAAACCUGCUCCAGCAUGGACUCCUGUCUCUAUGGGGUCACAGCUCCUGCCAGGAGCCUGCUCCAGUGCAGGGGUCUCAUCCUUCUCUGGGUAUCCACUUGUUCCAACAUGGGAUCCUCCAGGGGCUGCAGGUGGAUCUCUGCAUCCCCGUGUCCUCCAUGGGGUCA